rnacentral:lncRNA from 1 species
UUUCUAUUUGCUUUACCAGCUUCUGAUUUCUUUCUCCACUCUGGUGUACUCCAAUAUGCAACAAGUGCAUUCCAUAUCUCUGCCUCCAUCCAAUCUGGUCCUAAAUUGUAUAGAUAAGCAACAUAUGUCUUCUUGUGCUUACGCAACAAUUCACUCCUAACUCUAUGAAGAAUGUCUCGCAGUCUUUCUUUUCCUACCUUUUCCCAAGCAGUUCGAAUCAUAUCUUCUUCACUCUCAUCCCAUACAUAUCGACUCUACAAACAACAAUUAGUGUUAUGUAAAUUUAAAAAACUUAAAAUGCAUAUUAGAAAUUUUAGAAUAUAAGUUGUAUUUACCCGAAAAAGUCCAAAGAGCUCGUCUUUUGUCUUUAAAGGUAUUUCUGACCAAGUUUUCCAUGGAGCAGUGUAGCGCAUCUUAAUGUCAUUACUGAUUGAUCUAGUAACUGUGGAAUCUAAAAAGCUACAAUAUUUUUAUACAUAAUUAGUAGUUGUAAGUAAUAAUACAUAUUAAAUCAAUAGCAAAAAGUUGUAUAU